UAUAUAAAAACUAAUCUCAUCCUUAGGAUUAGAUUAGGAUGAGCGGUGAGGAUUAAAACAAAAAACCUACCCCUAAACCCUACCAAACCGUACAAAAUUUUCUCUCUCCUCAAACUUUCAAUCCUCUUUACUUUCUCUCUCCCCAAAUUGCUGCAAAAACCACCUAAAUUGCUCAAAUCAGCAAAAUGCAAGGCCAAAAUGAGAAAAAUUAGAAGAAGAAAUUACUAUUAUAUUAGAUGGAAAAAAUACUAAUGGAAGAAAAAGGAAAGUUGUUGAAAAUGAAGCGGAAGUAAUUGACAAAGCUGAAUUUGAGAAACAUGUGCAAAGUCAAAAACGAAAAAAGGUGUCAAGUUUUCAUCGAGGAAUCAACCAACUAGAAAAAUGAAAAAAAGGGAAGAAGAAGAUGAUGACGAUGAUGAGAAUGAUGAUCAACAUGAUAUUAAUGAUGAGAUGGAUGAACCAAAGUUGGAGAAGAAAGAUGAUAAAAGAGAUGACGUGAAUGAUGAUAGUAAAAAGGUGGUUUUGAAAAAAAAAAUAUGAAAAGUAAGAAAAGAAAGAUUGAAAAAGAAAAGGAUGAUGAGGAUGUCAAAAUAAUCAAAGAGGAAAAAAAAAAGAGGUCAGCGAGUUACUGCUAAGGAAUUGAUGAAACAAGUGUUGGUAGGUCUUUCUGAUAAGCAUAAACAAGCAAUUAAGAAAAUUGGAUUUGGAGCUUUUUUGAAAUUGGAUGCACCACAUUAUGUGGAUUCUUUGUUAACAGAACAACUUCUUACGAAUUUUGAUCCCAAGAGAUGUUGCUUGAUGCUACUAGGGAGAGAAGAAGAAAUACUCUUUGAUGAAAUUGAUGUUCACAUGACAUAUGGAUUGCCAAUGGGAGAUAUAGCAAUUCUUGAUACAAUAGAAAACAAGAAUGAAUGUGCAAACUUUAUGCAAAAAUGGAGAAAAAACUUUAACCUUAAAGUGGGUGCUCCAACAAAACACAAUUGAUUAGUAAGAUCCAAAAGGUGAAAGAGGUAGAUAAAGAACAAAAACAAGUUUCGGAUGAAUUCAUUUGAAUUUUUUUGGUUUGUGUGGUUAAUAGUUGCAUCCGUUCAACUAAUAACAAGCAAAUAUACGUUAAGUUUUUGUAUAGUUGCAAGGAUACAAAGAAUAUAGUUAAGUUGGAUUGGUGUAAAUUUGUUAAGGAGCACUUGAUGGAAACUACUAAAAAAUGGCUAGAUGGAGAAUCUUUCUUCAUGGGUCCUUUAAUCUUUCUUAUGGUAUCCUAUUUUGAUCGGGUACAAAGGAAGGGGUUAGAGACACCACGUGAAGUUCCACUAAUACCAUUGUGGAAUUAAGAAAGGUUCCAUACAAGAUUGAAGUUUGAGAAAGACCUUGGAUUUGGAAAAGGAAAAGUAUUAGAAAGAAUGAAAUUGAAUGUGGGAUUGGAAAAAAGGCAAGAGAAUGACAAAGGCAAGAAGAAAGAGCAACCCUUGACAAUUAGAGAAAAACAAGGGGAGAAGAAAGUAAUAAAAAAACAAGGGAAAGACAAAGGAAAAGAAAAAGUUAUGGAAAACCAAUCAAUGACUUGUAAUUCUAUCACGUCUCCAAAUGAUAUGAUGGGCUUUUUAAGAAAAUUUGGAGAUUUGACAAAAAGUCUUGCAUCUAAUGUGAAAGAGAUGUAUAUCAUGUUGGAACAAGCAAAGGAUCUCUUUGUUGAGGAAGAAACAACUUGGAAAAUGCAUCAUCUUAUAGACAACAUUUGGUGCAACUAUACCACAAAGACAUUGGUAAAUCAAGAAAAAGAAAAGCAACAGAAAAAAGUCCUUCCAUACUUAGUCAAAAUCAACAUUUCUUCGAUGAACCGACAUUCAUAGAAGAAUUGGAUAUGUUGAUGAACAUAUGGAAGAAAUUCAAUGAUGAAAAGUCACCAAAGACAUUGGGACAUGAUUUGCCAUCAAAUGAAGGAGAAAGAGAAAAGAGCAAUGAUGAGAGGAAUAACAACGAAAAGAUAGAUGAUAGUAUCUCUUCACCUAUACUUGAACAAGAAGAGAAGCAAGACAAAAGACAAGAGGAUAAUCAAGAAUAAAGACAAGUGUCGAAGGAAGGAGCAAGACAAGAGGAGAAGGAAGGAGAAAGACAAGAGGAGCAAGAAGGAGAUUUGGCAAAAGGUUAUGAUCUAAAGUUUUCUAUUAUGUGUACAAAAAAAAAAAGAGAAAAAAAUUAAUAUGAUUAAAGAUCAAUUUUAGAACAUAGUAAAUCAUAACAAAGAAAACAAUAUUUGGCACAUAAAAAUAAAUCACCUUUAAAUUAUCAACAAUCAACUUCUUAUGCAUAAUAUGUAUUUUUCUAUUAUCCUUUGAAAUUUUGCACAACUUGGAGUAUAUAAACAAUGAUUAUGUUCUUCUUUGAAAUGACUAACAACAUACUUUCCGGCAUCA